GAUGAACGCUGGCGGCGUGCUUAACACAUGCAAGUCGAACGAAGCACUUUACUACGAUUUCUUCGGAAUGACGGUUUUGUGACUGAGUGGCGGACGGGUGAGUAACGCGUGGAUAACCUGCCUCAUACAGGGGGAUAACAGCCGGAAACGGCUGCUAAUACCGCAUAAGCGCACGGUACCGCAUGGUACAGUGUGAAAAACUCCGGUGGUAUGGGAUGGAUCCGCGUCUGAUUAGCCAGUUGGCGGGGUAACGGCCCACCAAAGCGACGAUCAGUAGCCGACCUGAGAGGGUGACCGGCCACAUUGGGACUGAGACACGGCCCAAACUCCUACGGGAGGCAGCAGUGGGAAUAUUGCACAAUGGGGGGAACCCUGACGCAGCAACGCCGCGUGAAGGAAGAAGGCUUUCGGGGUCGUAAAACUUUUGUCUGGAGGACGAUAGUGACGGUACCUCCGGAGGAAGCCACGGCUAACUACGUG
rnacentral:rRNA from 1 species